rnacentral:rRNA from 1 species
AGAGUUUGAUCCUGGCUCAGGAUGAACGCUGGCGGCGCGCCUAACACAUGCAAGUCGAACGGCACCCGCCUUCGGGCGGAAGCGAGUGGCGAACGGCUGAGUAACACGUGGAGAACCCGCCCCCUCCCCCGGGAUAGCCCGGGGAAACCCGGGGUAAUACCGGAUGCCCCCUCCCGGCCGCAUGGCGGGGAGGGGAAAGCCCAGACGGGAGGGGAUGGCUCCGCGGCCCAUCAGGUAGACGGCGGGGUGACGGCCCACCGUGCCGACGACGGGUAGCCGGGUUGAGAGACCGACCGGCCAGAUUGGGACUGAGACACGGCCCAGACUCCUACGGGAGGCAGCAGUGGGGAAUCUUGCGCAAUGGGGGCAACCCUGACGCAGCGACGCCGCGUGCGGGAUGGAGGCCUUCGGGUCGUAAACCGCUUUCAGCAGGGACGAGUCAAGACGGUACCUGCAGAAGAAGCCCCGGCUAACUACGUGCCAGCAGCCGCGGU